rnacentral:rRNA from 9 species
CGAUGGGAAACAGAUUAAUAUUUCUGUACUUCAAUUUAAUGCGAUGUGGGGACGGAGAAGGUUAGGUCAGCCUAGUGACGGAUAUCUAGGUUUAAGCGUGUAGGUAGAUUCUUUAGGCAAAUCCGGAGAGUCAAUACCAAGGCGUGAUGACGAGUGAACUUUUGUUCAUGAAGUGAUUGAUACCAUGCUUCCAAGAAAAGCCACUAAGCUUCAGUUAAAUUGAAACCGUACCGCAAACCAACACAGGUGGGCAGGAUGAGAAUUCUAAGGCGCUUGAGAGAACUCUGGAGAAGGAACUCGGCAAAUUUGUACCGUAACUUCGGGAUAAGGUACGCCCUUGUA